rfam:Solanum tuberosum cultivar DM 1-3 516 R44 scf00170_16, whole genome shotgun sequence.
UUGAAGAAUUUGAAGACCUCAACUUGCAGACUUAAGGAAUUUGAAGACUUCAACUUGCAGACUUGAAGAAUUUGAAGACCUCAACU